GACGAACGCUGGCGGCGUGCCUAAUACAUGCAAGUAGAACGCUGAAGGAGGAGCUUGCUCUUCUGGAUGAGUUGCGAACGGGUGAGUAACGCGUAGGUAACCUGCCUGGUAGCGGGGGAUAACUAUUGGAAACGAUAGCUAAUACCGCAUAACAGUAGAUGUUGCAUGACAUUUGCUUAAAAGGUGCAAUUGCACCACUACCAGAUGGACCUGCGUUGUAUUAGCUAGUUGGUGGGGUAACGGCUCACCAAGGCGACGAUACAUAGCCGAACUGAGAGGGGGGGCGGCCGGACUGGGACGGGGACAGGGCCCAGAGGGCUACGGGAGGGAGCAGGAGGGAAUCGUCGGCAAUGGAGGGAAGUCUGACCGAGAAACGCCGCGUGAGGGAAGAAGGUUUUCGGAUCGUAAAGCUCGGUUGUAAGAGAAGAACGAGUGUGAGAGUGGAAAGUUCACACUGUGACGGUAUCUUACCAGAAAGGGACGGCUAACUACGUG
rnacentral:rRNA from 1 species